ACGGCCGUACCAUGCUGAAUAUAUCGGUUCUCGUUAGAUCACCGAAGUCAAGCAUCAUUGGGCGCGGUCAGUACUUGGGUGGGUGACCACCUGGGAACACCGCGUGCC
rnacentral:rRNA from 1 species